ACUCAGAUAUCUUCCACCUCUACUUAUCUGAGUGCAGAGAGGAGGACAGAGAACAGUGGACACACAGUUUAACAUGAUGGACUAUAGGACAGGACUGCUGCUUUUAACUCUCUGCUGGGCAGGUGUUGAUGGUCAGACUCUGACAGAAUCUGAACCAGCAAUUAAAAGACCUGGAGAAUCUCACAGAUUGACCUGUACAACAUCUGGAUUCACAUUCAGUAACUACGGCAUGCACUGGGUCAGACAGGCUCCUGGAAAAGGACUGGAGUGGGUUGCUUACAUCAGAUAUGACAGUAGCAGCAUCUACUACUCUCAGUCAGUCCAAGGCCGGUUUACCAUCUCCAGAGACAACAGCAGAGAGCAGCUGUAUCUGCAGAUGAACAGUCUGAAGACUGAAGAUUCUGCUGUUUAUUAUUGUGCUCGACACCCACAGUGACUGGAGUUGGUUGAGCAGC